GCAAACAAAUAAACAGACACAGAAGAUUUUAAAAGUGAGAUGGUACAGGACAGAGGAUAAAAUUAAAAACAAAGACAGUGAAUAGGUUAAAGUAGACAUAGUAAGAAAAAGUAAAAAGCAACAGGGUACACAAUAGUGAGGAAA